GGAGUAUAUUCAGAUUUUAUUCACAAAUAUCACAAAUAUUCAUGAAGUUCAGGAAAAAAAAUGGAUCAUUAAAAAGGAAAUACAGUGAUCCCUCGCUAUAUCGCGUUUCAUCUUUCACGGCUUCGCUGCUUCACGGAUUUUUUUUUUUUUUUUUUGCGAGUCGUUCGUUGCAGUUCUCAAAUAUAAUCGAAGGUGGCAUAUCCGUUUAUAAAAAUCUUCUUGCUCAGAAAAAGAAAGAGCGCCAACAACUACCCAUAACAAUGUUCUUCUCUGGGAGAAAGACUCCUGCGCCUCCAGUAGAAACAGACGCUCCAGCGGAGCGGAGUCAGGACGAAGAGGCACAGCUGGGACUGGGAAAUACGCGAGUGACAAUGUUUCCAACCUUGUAUUACUAUAUUAAAAUUAUUGUUUUAAACAAAUUUUGGGCUUUAAAACAGGUUUUGAUUUUUGGUUUCAUUCUAUAGUUCAGUAUUGCAUUGUAAAAUACAAAUAAAAAUAAAGCUGACUACUUCACGGAUUUCACUUUUCGCGUGUUAGUUUUGGAACACAACUCCCGCGAUAAACGAGGGAUCACUGUAUUCCAAAAAGAAAAACUGAUUAGGCCAUUGCCACCCAUCGGCUGCCAAACAAUCGGAAUAGGCAGAGUCCCUGUGGGGUCAUCCUAAUUUCUUCGUCAUCGUACUCAUCAUCCAUGCUGUAAUCACGCAGUUGACGCUGGCCGUUGCGACGACGACGAUGGGCGGAUUUGCUGGCCUUUGGAGGCUUGGGAUCAACUAGAACACAUUUUAUAAAAGUCUGUUAGUGUUCAGAAUUUUCUACCUUCCUGUGACUUGCAUUCAUUUCACAACAAAGCCAGAUACUUACAUUUCAGAGUCCAGACUGGCUGGUCUUCGUCAGAUUGCCACAAUUCUUCAGUGUGUUCGCCUGUUCAGAAACACCAUCAUCACCAUCGUCAUGAUGAUCAUCAUCUUCUCUAUUGCUUUCACAUGUGAAUUAUGGGUUCAUUUAUUCUCACCGGAGUCUGGUGGCUGGCCGCCGUUGGCCAUACUGCUCGGACAGUUCUGGUGUUGCAAGCUGCUAUUGAAUGUGGCGUGGGCCCUUUGAUCGCUGGGACCAGAACAUUUUGUUGGGUGAGCGUCAUCGGUUUCAGUCUGACAGCCCUUAUCCUCGGUCUCUGGUUGUGCAUGGCACUGCUCCUUCUAAAUGGCCAGGCAGAGGAAGACAUGGAUCACAUGUGGUUGACAGCUGUGAAAGCCAGCACUUUAACAUCUGCUUGUGCACUUCUUCGUGAGACCUAUGUGGAGCGUACGCUCUGAGCGCUCACCUGCAGUCUGACUGUUGGUUCUUCUGACCAGAAGAUCUGCACGAGCAUUUCUAUGGUGCAGAAAGUGUUCGUGUUCUUAUUUCUGAUGGACCCUGAUUUGACAAAUUCCUGGAAUCCAUCCUUGUAUUCAAUCAGGUACCACUGGGAAAAGUG
rnacentral:lncRNA from 1 species